rnacentral:tRNA from 1 species
GCUCCUGUAGUCUAGUUUGGAUAGCCUAAAAACCCAAAAAAGACGCAACCCUGCGGAGGUUGUAACCCGGGUUCAAAUCCCGGCAGGAGCG